UGCACGUUUGGAGAGUAGAGAGUACUACUUAGUAUAUAUUUCAUAGUCCUGUGGACUGACCGGGGCAACGCUAUGUAGAAAAACGUCCACGUCCAUUGUUCUCCUAUUGUUUUGCUCCGAAAAAGAAAACUGAGGUCCCUAAUACAAUCAAGGCAGUCCCCCUACAAUGACUCGCGGAGGAAACUGGUCAAAGUCCUGCUAAAACACUCCCAUAAGUGAAAAAUACGACCUUCGUGAAAAAGAUUGGUAGGCUGUGAUGCUGGCAAAGCUGCAGGGUGGAUGGGCAAAGUUGGACUUGCGUUAGGUGAGUGUUUAUGAACAAGAUCGCGCUCGCCCUUGAAACAAGAGCGAGCAUCUGGAAUGACUUCUGGUUGAGAUGACUGGUCUGAACUGACGCUAGGUGGUGUGAUGAGAUGACGGGAUUUUUCUGUAGUCGGGCUCGGGAUGCUUUCUGUUCCGAUGCUGUGGUCGUCAGACUCAUAAUCAUCCGGGAGUGGAGACAUGUUGCCGUGGGCUUUCAUGUGUUUUCUGAGUGAACUGGGGUGGGUGUAACUUUUGUCGCAGCCACGGAACUUGCAGAGGUAUGGCUUGUCGCUCGUGUGAACAUGGCUGUGUUUCU